GGCGGCGGCAGGGCGAGGGGCGGGCAGCGGUGUGGUGCGGCGCCGGUGGCGGAGACACCAACAAAUGGAACACAAAUUAACUUAAGCCUGCAGAAGGCUGGUGACACCUGAAAGAGGGAAAGGUACAGAAGCUGUGCUCUGUGUUUUCUACCUGACCUGUUGGGAGUACACUUUGGAGCAUGUUUGCUACUUAGCAGGGAGCUGAAAUUCAGGUACAAUCCAUUUAAACAAGGA